UGUGUGCUUUGAUAUUGGCAUGAUUCAAUCCCAUGACACCAUCUACAAACACCGAAAAGAGAAGCUUUACGAUGGUCUAGCAAAGUUCUUCUCGCGAAAGAGAAGCCUUACGAAGAUCUAGCCAAAAUUUCGUGGCAUGGACGAGCAAAGGGUGCUGGCAUUGGAUUGAGUCGCGCCAAUAUCAUGUGAUUGCGU
rnacentral:pre_miRNA from 1 species